GUUAUGAUCUGCCAUUAGAUUCCGAACUAAAAUUCAUUUGUUAAGAGGGUCGGGGGCAGAAAGUCAGACGUUUCAAGCACUAGACAGGUUUAAGUGGGCCAUGGAAGAUAAACCCCAUGUUCAUGUGCACUUAUAACAGUUGACCACAACUUUUGAACACUUCUUCACGAAACCACAAGUAUUUCGCUAAUUCUCCACAAAAUGCACAAACCUCCUGCUGCCUCCGUCCCGUCCUCCACCAUGGGGAUCAGGGUUUGGGCCUGAGCUGCAGCAGGGAAAUGUGGCGGUGAAGACGAGGAGUGGAGAGGAGAUGAGGCGACAGGAUGAGAAGAGCACGGUUAUGCCUCACUUCCUGCUCCUGCAUUACUUGCACCUCUUUCAUCUUUACAGAUUAGGUCGAUCCUCAGUUCUCCAUUCAAAAAUUUCACCUUGUGGUUGUUCUUGGCCUACUGUUAAUCAGUGAUUUAUGCUUUCUUUUAAUUUUGUUUAGGGUUUCAGAUAUUAGAUUGCUAGGUAGAUUCAGAAAAUCAAGUAUCUGAUUAAUUUUUUUAAUUACUCGCCAUGCCAACCUCAUCAACUACCCUGGAUAUUUAGAUACCUGAGUGCUGACAACUGAGCUACAUCAUGGAUUCAUGAUCUAGCACAUGCCACAUUAUUUCUUUCUCCAUAUCCCUGUGUGGUUCAUUUUCUUUGGUACUGAAAUUUAUGUAGUCAUCAUGGUCAUUUAUCUGCAUUUUACAGCCACAGGCAAGUGUUGGAUUUUAGAUAUUUUAUUGUGGUGGUAAUUUUGCUAUACAUGUCUUACUUAUCUUAUAGUCUCAGAAAGAUCUUGCUUAUCUUAACCUAAUUUGUUUUUAUGCCACACUUCCAGCAGAAUGGAGUGUGUUUAUAACUGUAUACAUUCUGGACGUUCUCAAUGCCGCUGCUUGUGUUCUGCUGCCCUCUCUUCUCCUGGAAGCAAUGCUGAGGUGAAAGUAGUGGAAGAGGUUGACGUGAUGCAUUGUCAUGCUCCAGGUGCUAAGUUUCAAUGCCAAUUCAGCAGAGUAACAGCGAAACAACUACUAGGCUUAUAUCGAACAUGGAUUUUUUGCAUUAGGAUAGAUACCCUGCUAUGGUCAUUCUGUUUUUGUAAAAGAAAAUUACAAGAUGCCAUCGAGUCUUGCACCAGACCUCAUGGCCGAAACUUGAUACUCGCCCGCCUACAAGGAUGAUGACCUAUUGCUCAAGGCAAUCCAUUGCUGUAGACAUUAUAACUCCUAGAGUGAUGUGCAGAGUCAUAAUGUUCUCCAGAUAAACAGUUUAAAAUGGUUUUUGCUCCAUAAGGCUUGACGUGCUGAGUUGCAAUGUCUCUUGGUUAUGGCAGCUGAGUGGUCGAUGAUGCUCAGAGAGAGCGGGCAGGGAGAGGAGAAGGCCAUAGUGUCGUGAUGGAUCUACGGUGGUGAUCGACGGCAGGGAGGACCAUGGUGAGGCUGCAGUGCGGCCAUGAGUUACAUCUCAGUUUUGUGAUUUCCAUCUGAAGAGGAAGUUCAGAUUCGAUCUCAUUCCAGGGAGAACUGGUAGAGAUUUCUCCUUUUUCUUGGCUGUACUAUUUUUCAAAAAAUUGUUGAGCAUUUUGGGGGCAAAUUGUGUCUCAAAUCUCUACUGCUUUGCUUAUUAAUAUCAAGAAAACUAGAGCUAGAAAAAUGCUUCAUUAGGACUUCAAUUAGUUUAGUCUGCAUUGCGGUUUAUGCACAUUGCCUGUUUCACCUAUGUUUUGCAUUCCUGUUUAGACUGUGCAUUUGUGCAGAAUACAAUGUGCAUGAUUUCGUUCCUAAUCUACUACAAAGAAGAGAAUUUUUGUUCUCUGUCUCCGAUAUUACUUUCAAUCAUUGCGGUGGAGAGCAAGGAUGGCUUUGCUGAAGGGAAUGACCUGGUGGUGGUGAGUGGUGACAGUGAUGUCUGCCGUGUGAGAGGAUCAGAUUAAUGCGCCAAAGAAUGUCGCCUCAAGUAACUUAUCUUGUUAUAAAAACACAAAAAUAUUGCUAAGCUUCUCCAGUUCUCCUUAUGAUCGCUCGAAAGCCCAUAUCUUCUAAAUUGUAACCAUUCAAAUCUUCCAUAGUUUAUAUGAUAAACUGAUUUAAACACCCCGCUCUCUAUUCCCAUGCUUGAAUUUGAUCCCUUAUCUGUACUUAGUGUUGCAUCUACAUAUAUGGCUUUUCAAAUCUUAGUUUGCUGCAAGUUAUCCCCUUACAAGAAAAUAGUGGAUACUGGUAAUAUUCUGCAGUUGCACAUGUUUAAGCAUUUCAAUGAUUGUUUGCUUACUGUGACCUGUAAUUUUCAUAUUAAUUUUCUUAGUAAUUAUUAUAAUUCAAGUAAACAAUGGAGUGAUACAUCGGUUGUAACCUGUAAGUUUGGUUAGAAAUCUGCAGUUCAAACUUGCAAAGACUAAUUUGAUUUCUUCAAGCUAAUGCUAAAUCUCUCAGGGUGGUGUGGACUCAAGGCUCAUAGUUCAACCGAGGACAAGACCAGAACUGAUACUUCAUAGAAGGCCAAGCUACAAAAAGGAUCCAAGUGCGAGGCAGUAUGUCAUCCAUUCACCGUAUAAUUUUCUGAUUUAGUACAUAAGCUUUUUUUACCUUUGAAAGGAAAAUACUAUUUUAUUCUUUUAGUGAGCUAUAUCUCAUUAAUUCAGGAUCAAAUUAGAAAAGCGAUCUUACAAAAUGUGUCUAUUUCCAUUUUGGGUUUAGGACCUUUUGGAACUUCUAUAGGAGCUUCCAACUAACAACUUCUGGAGAAUAGUAACAUUACAGUUCAUGUCUUUUUAACUGAGUAAGGUUGGAGUCAAAGUCCUUAUAGAUGCUCCUCAAAAUGUUCCAUGUAUGUAGAUUGGUAUUCAGAAGUUUGGCACAGCCUCCUUGAUUGCAGUUUCUAUUAUCGACUCUAGGCAGGCAUUUUUUUUUUUGAGGGACUAGGCAGGCAUUUUUAUGAUGUAUCACUUUAUACUUUCUAUUCUUUAAGUACACUUUGUGCCUACACCAUACAACUAGCUAUAGAGGGGCAGAAUUGAGCAAAUUCAACCUCAGAACCGACCU